rnacentral:tRNA from 1 species
UUGUCCGUAGCUCAGUUGGUUAGAGUACUACCUUGACAUGGUAGGGGUCGGCGAUUCGAGUUCGCCCGGACCCA